GGAAGGUGUUGCCCCUUUUGCUGCGGGGAAAGGGCCCCAUGAGGUCCAUGCCCAGCUUUUCCCAAGGAUCCUCCACUGGAGUAGGCUGCAUGAGGCCAGCCAGCUUCUGAUUUUCAGCCUUGUAGACUUGGCAGAUGGUACAGACCUUGAUUUGAUUCCAAACGUCUUUGCAAACGGAUGGCCACCAAGCUACCUCAAGGAUCCUCAGGAGUGUUUUCAGCCUGCCCAGAUGCCCACUCAGAGGAUGAUUGUGGAAGUAGGCCAGAAAGACAGGCACAAGAGACUUUGGGACAACCAGCUGAUAUUUAUCCCUCACAGGAGACCGUCGAUACAGGAGGCCUUGCAGCUUUGUGAAGCCCAUCCUGUCAGACCUACUAAGGGUGUCUGCCUCUUUGGCCAAGUCUGUGACCUCUGAAUCCUCUUCUUGUGCCUCCCUUAUUUCAGACAGGGAGGAGGGCAGUUCAGAGGAAUCGGACACAUUCGCCACAGCACAGACUGCAGCUAAAGAGUUAGGUGUAACAGCUCGGAGCAGGGCAUCAGGCACAAUGUUAUGGAGUCCUUUCCUGUAUUGUACUCUAAAUUGAAACUGCUGGAGCCGCAGGAUCCAGCGAGUCAGGCAAGAGGAGGUUUUUGGACAAUUGAAGACCCAGGUCAAGGCAGUAUGGUCUGUGUGUAUGGUGAACUCCGCCCCCUCAAGGUAGUGCCUCCACUUCUCAACAGCCCAGACGACUGCAAGACACUCCUUUUCAGAGGUGGAGUAAUUGCACUCUGCACCACGCAACCCCCUGGAUGCAUAGGCGAUCACCUUCUCCUCUUCAGCUGUUCUUUGCACCAGCACAGCCCCCAAACCCACAUCGCUGGCAUCCGUGUGGAUUUCAAAUGGCAGGGAGGUCUCAGGCUCCAUGAGGAUAGGUGCGUCCACCAGUGCCCUCUUCAGCUGAUCAAAACUUUGCUGACAUUCCUCUGACCAGACCCACUCUACAUCCUUCCUCUUCAGCCGAUUCAAUGGAGCAGCCAGGUCUGCAAAAUGGUGAAUAAAUUUGUGGUACCACCCCACAAGGCCUAAGAAACGCUGGAGGGUCUUGAUGUUAGUGGGCGGUGGAUACAUGGUCACUGCCAGAGUCUUUUCUAGAUCCACCUGCACACCCUUGUCCGAGACUACGUGGCCCAAGAACUUCAGCUCCUGCCGGAAAAAGGCACACUUCUUAAGGUGAAGUGUCAGUCCAGCUUUAUGGAGCUUCCCUUGCUGGUCCACCUUUCCCCAGUACUUUUUAGAUGAGGUGCAGUCUUUCUCCACCAGGGUACCAAUCUGAACCAGCUGGUCCACGUUUGUGACAGUGCCCUGGAGACAGCCAGCUAUUCGAGGGUUGCAGUUGUUCAGGAUCUUGCGCACCAACUCAGUCUUUGUGAUGUCUGGUUUCCACCACAGACAAAGAGCACGAUAGUCAUAAGCAAAAUCCCCAGACACUGAUCUGGCAACUGUACCAUGUCCCGUAGCUUUUCUUCUGCCUCGGUGAGAUAAUCAGGAGGGAGGAAGGCAUCCUUAAAGGCCUUCUUAAACUCAAGCCAGUUGUGCACAUUGUUUUUCGCCACCAGCUAUGUGCUGGCCCUUUAAGCGUGUUGGACAGGGCGCCUUUCAGCUCUGCAUCAGACGAUGGCCGCACUGCAAAAAAUGUUUCGCAGCGAUCAACAAAAUUAAGAACAUUGGCAGCUUCCCUGGACCCACUAAAAGAAGGAAACUCCAUCUGGAUAGCCGGCCUGGAAUAAACCACAGGAGGUCUGGGGGGGUGGGUUGGCUACCUGAAGCACUCAAAGGAGGUGAGAGGCUUGUGCUUAGUGUAAAAGGCGGUGUAGGUGGCUGAGAGAGUGCUCCCGUGAAUGGUGUCUAAAGCUGGGCACCUACCACAUUAUGCGCUGGUUGGCUUGGAAUGAGCUCUUGAACAUGAGUAGAGGGCUGCACAGCACUGUCAGAACUAGAUGCCAUGUCAGGAGUGGUCAUGUUGGCGAGAAGGAGAAGUGAUGCUACUGAUAGACGGGGUCAUAACAGGCCCUGCUGUGCUAAGAGAAGCAUGUGUUUGUGUGAAGGCACUGGAGGAACUAGGUGCCAAUGGAACACCAUAGUAAACUUGAGCAGGAGUGGAGCGGCUAUGAGGUGGAAGAAUAGUAGCUCCCGUGUGUGGAUAAGGCCUCGGGAGAGCAACAAGGCUGGUGCGCUUCAGCCGUUCAAUUUCUGCUUUCCAUUUUUCAUCACGCCUCUGCACUAUUAACAGAAUCUCUGAAGUCAGUCUCAAGUGUAUUUAAUCUGUCCAUGACUGAAUCUAAGUCGGUGGUAAUGGUUGUGAGAGCAGGAAGUGUGAGGAAUUCUUCUAGUGACCCAUGCAUCUCCCCUUGGUUCAUGGUGCAGUU